CAAUAGCGUAUAUUAAAGUUGUUGCGGUUAAAAAGCUCGUAGUUGGGUUUCUGUCGGUGAGCGAAGGUCCGCCCUAGUGGUUGGUACACUUCGCGCCGCCGACAUCUUCCUGGGGAAUGUGUCUGCACUUCACUGUGUGGCGCGGGAACCAGGACGUUUACUUUGAGGAAAUUACAGUGCUUCAAGCAGGCUCACGCUCUCUGAAUAUGUUAGCAUGGAAUAAUAGCAUCGGACCUCGAUCCAAAGCUGUUGGUUUCUUGGAUCUGGGUAAAGGUGAAUAGGGAUUGUUGGGGGCGAUUCGUAUUUAACUGUCAGAGGUGAAAUUACUUGGAUUUAUUGAAAGAAUGAACUUAGGUCGAAAG
rnacentral:rRNA from 1 species